rnacentral:misc_RNA from 1 species
UAUGCUCGGAGCAUGUCAGGCAAGCCAUAUGGUUAUCACAACAUGAUAUUUAGUUGGAUUGACACAAUAGCUGACAAUUACCCACCGCCUCUUGAUGCUCACUUGGUCAUUUCUGUCAUGUCUAUGUGGACUCGGGUGCAGCCUACUUAUGCUGCAAAUAUGUGGAAUGAAGCUCUAAAUAAACGGCUAGGGACUGAGGAUUUGGACCUGUAUGGAAUCCUGGCUGAGGUUGGAAGGCGUGGCAUAGCCUUUGAUGAAUUGCUAACUACACCAGAACAAGAUGAAUGGAUAUACAGUGAUGGGAAAUCAACAACAUGUGUUGCCUUCAUCCUUGCAAUGUAUAAGGAGGCUGGAGUAUUUGGUCCCAUUUCUAGCUCUAUUCAAGUAACUGAAUUUACUAUUCG